UAUAAGAGGGUAUGGUUUGGGUGUGGUCUGUUGGGAGACUACUGAUUCAGAGUACUGAUUGUACUUGUUUGUCUUUAACUCCAUCAGCAAUUCAGCAUUCAUUUUGGAGUUCCUAUUGAAGUACAGAAACUAAUAUUAAAAGGUCAGUUAUUAACGAUUCUGUAUAUUGAAUCUCACAGAGUUAAUAUGAUACUGUACAUGUACAUGUACAUGAUAUGUACAUCGUAACUUUUACUGUUAAUUUUGUUUUUGGAUGCAGAUUAAUAUCUUUUUAAUGUAAUUUUUGUAAUGUACCAUUGGUAGUAUGUACUAAAACUGAGGGUCAUUAAGUAAUCAGGGUAUAAUACUGUAUUAAUUGUGGGUGUUAUAAUUAUUAGUGAAAUUGAUUUGCAAUAUGUCCAUUAUGUAAUCCAACGGGAUUAAGUAUGAGUCGUUAUUAAAUAGGAAAGACUCUUCAGGGGCGUAUCCAGAAACUUGAAAAGGAAGGUGCUGAGGGCGCACAAAGUGCACUGUAAUUUUGGCCACACCCCUUUUUGCGGCGGUAAAAAGGCGUUUUCCUUCAUUUUUGUGAAUUACGGGUGGGAUCAAAAUUAUUUUAAGCAUCUAGUACUUCUGACAACUUCUGAUUGCUCCUGAAAGCACUGGAAACUGCUGAAAUAAUGAUCAGGGGGCUAGAUAACUUUGUUAGGAGGCUUGGUAGUGAUGCAAAAGCCCAGCCAUAAGGGGGGUGCUCAAGCCCCCCUCAGCCCCUGCUGGAUAUGCCCCUGCUCUUUUAGGAAAGAAGAUGAGUUAGUUAGUGAAGCAGGAAUAAACAAUAAUAGCAAAAUAAUGCUAUUGGGAAGAAAGUUACAAAUAUCCAUAAUCAUGCUGUGUACGAUCCACUUGUAUUAAUUAAAGUCAGCUAUGAGGGUUUUAUUGCAAAUUCUUGCUAAUUACAAAUUUUUAAGUUACAUGUGUAGGUACAUGUACAAAUCAUGCAUAGUACAUGCAUGUGUAUUGAAAGUUUCUGGUAAAGGUAUUACAUCCACACUGACUUUGCUGUAAUGCUAACUGCAAGUGCUUUAGGCUUACCUCUUAAUAUGUCUUACAUCUUUUUCUAAUUUUAUUACUUGAUAGACUGAUCCAGCUCUAGACGAGUGUCUCAAGAAGCUUGAUGAUAUUUUAGAAUCAACAAAUACUAUUGAGAGAAAGAUUAAGAAGAUUGAACAAGAGAUGGAAGGGAUUGAAAAGGUUUCCUGUUUUCAGAGCUACAUGUAGUCUCUGAAUCUUGUGAUAAGUUAUGUUAACAAAGUUUGGCAUGCAAUGAGAAUUUAACAAAGAAUCUAGAGGAACUAGACACUAUAUAUAUGACACCCCCUGAGCAACUGUACUAAUAGAAAAUCGUGGAUUUUUGGAGAGAUCUGCUAAAUUUUUAGGCCAAGAAAAUUUUCCACUAUGACUAUAUGAAUUACAUCUAGGAUUAGGCCAGGGGGCUCAUUCCCUAGCUCAAUACCUUCUGCCACAGAAACUCUCGUGAGAGGAAAGAGAAAUACACUAUAAGUGGUUUUAUACUCAUUUAAUCAUUAAUGGUACUAACUGAUAAGUUAACUGAUAGAAUUCACACUGCAAACACAAUAUAAUUAUUUUUGUUCACUAUACAUGAAUGUCAAUUAAUCUAUGGUUGAUUUCUGUAUUUAUUUUUUAUUCUAAAUAGUUAAUUUGAUGAGAACUUAA